ACAAUUUAUAAUUGGAUGAAAUCACGCGGGUGGUAAUAGCAAUAAGGGCUCGUGCUGGAGCUCACUGCUUCCCCCUCAUGCAGGACUGUCCUCGUCUUUCCUCUUGUCCAGUUCCCUCCCUAGCCUCUCUAGGGGCUGUGCCCACCAGCCUGCUAGCACCUGGAGCUGCAGCACUGACCAGACCCUGGUCAGUGAGGACUGAUGUUACACAGGCUUGCUGGCCCUCAGACCUCCUUUCUCCUGGGGACGCUAAGAACCCCUGAUUUAGCCUCUCCACCCUGCAUCCCCUGGCUGAACACUCCCUUCCUCCACAUAGGUCCUGCCAGCUGUGAGCCCGUGGGCAGCCACCCCCAGCUUGGGUGCUGGGCUUAUUAAUCAUGCAACCUAAAUGUCCUUGUUUUCAUUUGUAACAGUCCCAGACAAUGAGCAUUUCUCAAAUCAGCCACCUUCGGCCCUACAAAGAAAAGUGCCCAGAUGCAGCCGAGCCCAUCUGGAUCUGAUUUCAAACCAGAGCCUACACUCUCAGAUGUGUAAUGAAAGCCCUUUUCCAAAGAGGGGCUCCUGCAGGGGGAUGUGGACACCAGGGCACUGGCCUUCUACAAGACACCUCUAAUGAGAGCUAUGUGGGGAGGGCAUGGUUUUGUUUCUCGGAUUCCUGGGAACAGCCUGCCCCACCCCCAGGUCUCUGCAAACUGGGAGGGCUCAGGGGGUGGGGAGGAUCUACCCUGCCUAAGAGAUGGGGUGGCUGCAGAAAAAAGCUAGGGACAUGGAGACCCAACUUCCUGUGGCCCUGAUGAUCCUAUUUCCCACAGUUGGAAAAGCAGUGCUUGUUCUGAAGGCCCAGGCUAUGGUGGCUCAGUUGGAGCCUGUGAAUGACAUUUAUCAGGAAGAGCAGGAGCUGAGGGGAACUGAGCCAAUGCUGGGCUGGGCCAGUGGCCCUGCAGGGCUGGCAGCUUCAAAACUUCAUCUUUUUCUUCCCAGCCCUUCCAUUUUCAGGGAGAAAAGGAAACCAGGUAUCUGCAAGGAAGGGCCCCUCAUAUGAGCUGCUCAGGUAUCUGGAUGUGAGGAGACAGGAGAUGGGAGGCAAUGAUCUAAGCCCUGUCCCAGGCCUGCAGGAAAGUGGCAUUUAAGAAAACAGGCUCUGGGGUUGGGAUGUUGCUCGAUGGUCAAGUACUUGCCUAGGAUGUGUGAGGGCCUGGGUUCCAUCUCCAGCCCAGGAAGCCCUGACAGUCCUCUGUCCAUGUGGGCCUCUGUUUUGUUGGGCAUGAUCAUUUGUAUUGUCUUUGACAGGUGAGGAGGCAGAGACUGGGGGAGAAGAGGCUGCCUCUUUGGACAGAUGAGACCAGAGGUGAAGCAGGAAUAACCCCGCUCCUGCCUCCCAGCAAGAAAACCUCUGCAAACGGGAGCAGCCAUGCGGGACUUAGCCCCUGCCCCACAAGGCAUCUUCCUGAAGCAGGAUGUGUGGGGCCUGACAGCUCCUCGGUGAACAUCUGAACUCCUCAGUGGGGUAAUGGACUCCCUCCUUCCCCCGGAGACACAGCCUGAGUGGCAGGAAUACCGAUUCUUUGGAGAGUGGCUCCCUCUCAGCUCUGUCACGCAAGAAUGCUCUCUGCACCGAGCCUAUUCUGCCAAGUGACUUAAAGGGAUUUAAAAAAAAAAAAAAACAGAAGAAGAAAAAAAAUCUUGGUAAAGAAAAAGGGGGUUAAAAGGCACACAGACGCCUUUCAGAGGAGGUGGCGGCCUGCAGACAAAGGGUGAAAGUUGAAAGAGGGCCGAGGAAGUGGCAAGCAGGGAGAGGCCACCCCCCUGGGGCGGUGUGGGGCAUGCCCCAGGAGCAGGGGGCCAGAACACCCUCACGCCCCACUCCCAAGCCCCCGGGGCCGCACAGGGUGUCCCUGUGCACCCAGAGCAUAGGCCCCUCGCUUCAGGCGGUCUAGGGAGCCAAGGAUGCUACCUGGGAUCUGCAGCCUCAUCUGAAUGGUUGAGUCCAGAAGACAGAAGCACAGGAUCCCCUCCCCAAGCCUCCAGUGUCCCCCACACUGCCAGUGUACCCAGGUCUGCACUCUGCUCUCUCAGCCCUCGGCCUGUUAGGGCCGAAGGGCCAGGAAUGUGAGCGUGGCCUGGGCCCACUGUGUCACUCAACAUCACCAAGGGCCUUGGGAGCAGCCACUCCAGUGGGACUCUGCAGCCCAAGGGCUGUGGCAGCAAGGAGGUGUUGAGGCUCUACAUCGGGUGGGGUCAGGCUCCCCCAACUGUCCACCAUGGUGGUGGCACACCCCACUGCCGCUGCUACCACCACGCCCACCACGACUGUCACAGCCACUGUCGUGAUGACCACGGCCACCAUGGACCUGCGGGACUGGCUGUUCCUCUGCUAUGGGCUCAUCGCCUUCCUGACAGAAGUCAUUGACAGCACCACAUGCCCCUCAGUGUGCCGCUGCGACAACGGCUUCAUCUACUGCAAUGACCGGGGGCUCACCUCCAUCCCCACAGACAUCCCCGACGAUGCCACCACCCUCUACCUGCAGAACAAUCAGAUCAACAAUGCUGGCAUCCCCCAGGACCUCAAGACCAAGGUCAAUGUGCAGGUCAUCUACCUGUAUGAGAAUGACCUGGACGAGUUCCCCAUCAACCUGCCACGUUCCCUGCGGGAGCUGCACCUUCAGGACAACAAUGUGCGCACCAUCGCCAGGGACUCGCUGGCCCGAAUCCCACUGCUGGAGAAGCUGCACUUGGAUGACAACUCUGUGUCCACCGUGAGCAUCGAGGAGGACGCCUUCGCUGACAGUAAACAGCUCAAGCUGCUCUUCCUGAGCCGCAACCACUUGAGCAGCAUCCCCCCAGGGCUGCCACACACGCUGGAGGAGCUGCGGCUGGACGACAACCGCAUCUCCACCAUCCCACUGCAUGCCUUCAAGGGCCUGCACAGCCUGCGGCGCCUGGUGCUGGAUGGCAAUCUGCUGGCCAACCAGCGCAUCGCCGACGACACCUUCAGCCGCCUGCAGAAUCUCACAGAGCUCUCGCUGGUUCGCAACUCUCUGGCUGCCCCACCCCUCAACCUGCCCAGUGCUCACCUGCAGAAGCUGUACCUGCAAGACAACGUCAUCAGCCACAUCCCCUACAACACGCUGGCCAAGAUGCGUGAGCUGGAGCGGCUGGACCUGUCCAACAACAACCUCACCACACUGCCCCGUGGCCUGUUUGAUGACCUGGGCAACCUGGCACAGCUGCUGCUCAGGAACAACCCCUGGUUCUGCGGCUGCAACCUCAUGUGGCUGCGGGACUGGGUGAAGGCACGGGCGGCCGUGGUCAACGUGCGGGGCCUUAUGUGCCAGGGCCCUGAGAAGGUCCGGGGCAUGGCCAUCAAGGACAUCACCAGUGAGAUGGAUGAGUGCUUUGAGACAGGGUCGCAGGGUGGUGCAGCCAAUGCGGCUGCCAAGACCACAGCCAGCAACCAUGCUGCAGCCACCACGCCCCAGGGCUCACUGUUCACCCUCAAGGCCAAGAGACCUGGGCUGCGCCUCCCUGACUCCAACAUUGACUACCCCAUGGCCACAGGCGAUGGCGCCAAGACCCUGGUCAUCCAGGUGAAGCCCCUGACAGCAGACUCCAUCCGCAUCACAUGGAAGGCAACACUCCCUGCCUCCUCCUUCCGGCUCAGCUGGCUACGCCUGGGCCACAGCCCUGCAGUGGGCUCCAUCACAGAGACCCUGGUGCAGGGGGACAAGACAGAGUACUUGCUCACGGCCCUGGAACCCAAGUCCACCUACAUAAUCUGCAUGGUUACCAUGGAGACUGGCAACACCUAUGUGGCCGAUGAGACACCUGUGUGUGCCAAGGCAGAGACAGCUGAUAGCUAUGGCCCUACCACCACACUCAACCAGGAGCAGAACGCCGGCCCCAUGGUGGGGCUGCCCCUGGCAGGCAUCAUCAGUGGUGCCGUGGCUCUCGUCUUCCUCUUCCUGGUCCUGGGGGCCAUCUGCUGGUAUGUGCACAGGGCUGGUGAGCUGCUGACCCAGGAGAGGGCCUACAACCGGGGCAGCAGGAAAAAGGACGACUAUAUGGAGUCGGGGACCAAGAAGGAUAACUCUAUCCUGGAGAUCCAUGGCCCUGGGCUGCAGAUGCUGCCCAUCAACCCAUACCACGCCAAAGAGGAGUACGUGGUCCACACCAUCUUCCCCUCCAAUGGCAGCAGUCUCUGCAAGGGCACACACACCAUCGGCUACGGCACCACACGAGGCUAUCGGGAUGGGGGCAUCCCUGACAUCGACUACUCCUACACAUGAUGCCGGCCCACCCAACCCCAGCCCCUGGCCGCCAUCCCGAGUGGUUCCUGGCUCUGCCCAGCCCACUAUGAUCCCAGAGAGCAAGGAAGAGAAACUAAUUCUGCAGUGACUCUCCCAGCAGAAAGCAAAGUUUGAGAAAGGGUGAUGAUUUGCUAGAACACACCAGUGGGGGGGGGGCUUUUUAAAUGAAUAGAAGGCAGAAGGGGAAGGGGAAUCCAAUAUUAUUGGAGACAUAAUUUAUUCCAAAUUAUGCCAAUUGGGGAGGGAAGAACAAAAAUAAUACUGAAGGAAGGGUUGGGUUGGGGAUUUUUUUUCCUGAACUGGAAAGAUACUACCUGUACAACGUCUGUGUACAACGCGCACUCUGUUCAGGGCUGUCACAAAAGAACCGUCAGAAGCCAAGAGAAGCCACCGACACGCAGGCCCCCCACCCAGCAUCCUGCUGCCCAGCUGCUCACAGGCAAUGAUUCGAUGGAAGGUUUUCAGGCACCUCACAAAGGAGAGAGGCAAAGAAAAGAUCUUUUGCUAUGGAGAUAUUGUCCUGAAAUCUCUUCCCUGGCUCUUUCCAUGCCAUUCCCCUGACAGAUUUGCAGAAGAGAGAGUCUUUCACUGCAUUCUUGGAACAAUUAAUGUAGUCAAUUAAAAAGAAAAAAAAAUUGAACUUUUUUCUUCCUAUGCUGAGUGCUCUCCAGUUCCAUGCACCAUCCUCUGUAGAAGCCCUGAUGGAAGCCGUAGCUUUCCCUGCCACGUGGAGGUGAAUCUGUCUGCCUGUCUGUCUCUAAGUCCUGUCUCUCAGUGCAGAUGGCUAGAUAGAGACAGGUACACCAUCCUUACAGCACUUCUUGGGUCAGUUCUUACCAUUUCCUGAGACAAUAGAAUUGCAAAAAAAUGUUGCUUUCUUCUAGAAAUCAUUGAAUGCAAUCACCUCAAUUGGGUUUACUCGUGCUUCCUCCUGGAUAUGUAAUUAGUGCAGGGACUUUUUUUUAUAUACAUAUAUAUGUAUCAGCUGAUUAGACCUUUUGGUUUCCAUGGCUGCUCAAACAAAGCCCAGAAAAAGAAAAUUUUCAGAAAAUCCCUGAGAGACAUCAGCCCUCACACACACACCUGUGUAGAAAACAGCUGCGCCUGCUCCUGAGAGGAGAGACCAGAUCUCUUUCUAAAAAUGCCAGCUUCCAAAAGGGUUCUGACUGGGGCCCUCAGAAGAGCUAAAAUUUUAUUUCCUCCCUCUGGAAUCAAUGUCGCUAUCAUUUAUCAACUGACAGUGCAGUGUGGCGAGCCAUGAGAUUAAAACGAUGAUGAAAUAAUGACAACAGAUCUGGAGAGGAGGAAAGCGUGGUGCCCAGGGUUCCGAUGGCUGCUGCAUCCUGUACUCGGGGAGCUGGGGUCACCAUCUGUCAAUGUGUCUCUUGCCCCACACCAGGAAAAGACGACAUCAAAGCAGAGGCGCUGCUCCGAGGGCAAGAGGAUGAGAAGGUCGGCUCCUGACAGUGGUGUUUUUAAAAAGCCUCUGCUACUUGGACCAAAGCAAAGGCAAGAAGAAGAGGCUGGGCAGUGAUCACAGGGCUGCCCACGACAUGCCCGAGCACUGUCUGCCUAUUGGACAUUCAAAGAGCCAACUGGCCCUUCAGCGAAGAGGUGGAUUGAAAGCAAUGUUCCUGCUGCUGCUUGCUGCUCGGGAGAAGUGGAGAGAGGUGCAGGCUCCCACUGCAGGCCAAGAAUCAUCACCACCAAAGGGGACUCCUGUCCUCCAGCCCCAGGACAUGCCCAGGGGGCAUGGACACUGUUCAUUCCAAACGACCUUUUCCCCUUCUCCUGCCCGGAUCAUUUUCCCACACAAUGAGGUCCAGAGAGAAACUUUCCCAAGGCUUAAUUUCAGGUCUGUAUCAACGCCGCCCGACCCCCACCCCCACCCUAACCGCAGCACCAUCCCUCACAGCUCGGAAAGGAAGAGGGGACCCCAUAUACCAGGGAGAUCUGGGUGAAGGACACAAGGUGGGGGGCGUUGGUCGGGGGACAGAAGUCCCAGCCCUCUGCUGUUUCUGAAGUGAGGUACUCUCCUUUGAGGGGGCCACUCUGGCCUACUUCAGGUUCCAGGAAAGUCGGCCCAGCUUUCCCUCUGCCUCAAGGCAUCUUGCCUGCAUCCACAACACAGUACUGCCAGCAUGCUCUGACUCCUAGCUCACGGGGUCCCCUUUCUCAUUUCCUGCCCCAGUGAGGGUCAAGCCAUCCCUUUGGUGGCUAGCAAGGAAUUUAGGGGCAUCUGGUGGCCUGGACCCUGACAGUGGCUUGAGUAGCACAUUUUCCGCCCCUAUCACACAGCAGGCCCAGGCCCACAAGGGCCCUGCCAAUGCCUGGGAACAGUGCCCAGGCUAAGGACCUGAUUGGUCCCCUGCAUGGGCUUCUUGCACUAACAGGGCUUAGCCCAACUUAUUUAGGGCUGCAGAGCCCAGGGCCUGCCCUUUCCUCAUGGGCACUAAAUUCUGGGGAAGGUGAGUACUCUGCCAGCCAAGGAGACACAGGGACAUGGGCCCCUCUGGAAGCCCUUCUUGUCUUUUCUGCCCCUCAGCACUCCGACAUUUCCUAGUGUCCUUCCUGAGAGCAAGCCUCCAAAAUCUGCUUCAAGGUGGCCCCCAAGCCAGGCCCCCUCUGAAACCUCAUCCCCUCCUGGUCCAGCUCCUCCAAGCUGGCCUCUUAACACAAGAUGGAGGAAGUUUGGGGCACCCAGCCUCCCCCGCCUCUUAGAAGUGUGCAGAGCCACCAGGCCAGCAACAAUACCCCCAGGCUCUAUUAAAACCUCCCUCUGUGUGUGAGGAUGCUCCCACUCAAAAGUCCUCUACCAACCUGACCCUCACGGGCUCUAACCAGCCAGAACCUCCCUCUGCAGGCACGGAUCAACCUGAGUGUGAUGAGUGUACUUUGUGGCAUUUGAGGCAGGUUUAAAGUUUUAAAAAAGAAAAAAAAAGGCCCAUGACACCUCUUUGGUUAAGUGGUUUACCCUUCGUGGUAAUUAGAUGUAGCGAUUGGAUUGGAAUCUCUUUUCUAUUACAUGGCAAUUUUCCUUUAAAUUUCCUCUAAAAAAAAAAAGGAAAGAAAGAAAAGGCAAAGAAGGAGAGAGAAGGCAGCAGGGCUGUGUGUCAUUUGCAUUUUGAGAAUGAGGCCUCUUAUAAGCUCAGCUCAGGCGUGGGGCCCAACGUAUGGAAUGCUUAAGAGAUUACUAAGAAUAAAAUCUAUUAAUUAGUCAUACUCAAUUCCACAGACAUGAUGUGCAUCAAAAGCUCCUUUUCUUCCCUUUUCUGCUUUCCCUUUCCCGAAGGAAGCCUCCAUCUUCACGAAAUGGGCUCCAUUUCCUGGCCUGCCUCCACAUUAACAUGUUACCCACCCCCCACCCCCAGGGCUGGGUGCCGGGUUUGAGGGCAGGAGCCGGGGCAGUGCUCCUUCCCUGCUCUGGCUGAUGCUGGAAGGGGAGGUGGCAGCCCCCGGGGAAGAUGGCAGUGGCUGGGAGAGGCCAGCCUUCCUUCAUAGAAGCCCCUGUCUACUCAGAGGGCUCCUCCUCCCUCUGCAGGCACCAUCUUUCCAACAAGGGUGAGAGGGAGUCAGGGAGUGUGUGUGGCUUUCUGGCAAAUACAGGCUUCUGUUUCCCCUUCUGUAAAGCAGGAGUGCCUGGGGAGGCUCUAGUUUCACUCUUUAAGAAAGCUGGGUGCUUCAGAGACCGAGGGGGCCUCCCCUCCCCUGAUUCUGGAGGGUUCCAGCUGGCCCAUAGCAGGUGGAGGAAUCCUUGCAGGGCUGAGGGGCACUGAGCCUAGGCCAGCCUCUGCCUGAGCUUCCUCCACCACUGGCCAGGAAGGAAGGAGCAAAAGUCUGAGGUACACUCAGGACAGCAUCCCACCCCAGCCCCCAACGAGUGGCAGCUCAAGUCCCAAAGCCAACCCACUCCAGAAAUCUGCUUCCUGUCUAGCAUGCCAGGGAGGAGAACAGGGCUUCUGAGCCUCUCGCUUAUGAAAAAUACAACAAGAAAAAUUGGAUGCAGCAGACAGGGAGUGAUGGGGCUGUAAGGAAACCAGGGAGAGCUGGGGCAGGAAGGUGGGGCUCAGGCACGGUGCAGUGGCCUGUGCCCCCAAGGGCCAGACUAUGCUGUCAAGAGCCAGACGAAGGCCAUGGCCAGGGCGACCUAUAGGAGCCCCAUGCACCAUGUCCUCUGUUCAUACUGAAAUCAGUGCAGGUGAAGGUAGCUGAAGCUGCGCGCACUGGAUGGGCGCCAGGUUGAGCGCUAACAAGCAAUUCACAGGCCUUCCAGAAUGCAGAAAGAGAAGGCAUUUUUUUUCUUAAGGAGGGAUAAAAAGGCUCAAAAAUGCAAAUCAUUACCGUUUACAACCAAGUAAGUCUGCUAAAUUGAUUAGGAGCGAUUAAACUCCUCAGAGGUGAAGGGAAGGGGGUUUCUUGUGGUCUAUAAACCUGCCCCAAGUGGCCGUCCACACAGCAGGGGUUUUCCAGGCCUUGCUGGGAUGGGUCGCCUGUCCCGCUCCUCCCCCUGGGGAACAGGGGUCUCUGAAGGCUGACAUCAGGUGGGCCAGGGCACUGGGGCUGAGCCCUGCUGGGGGAGGGGAGAGGAGCAGUCUGGCUCCAGCCAGGGGCCUCGUGCUCAGGCCUCUGGGCCAGGCAGGGCUGCUGUGGCCCACAUGGGUAACAAGGCACUGUCCCAGGCUCCAGGAAGAGACUCUGGCCCUGCCCUCCAGAUUCCAUCUGCCUUCAGGGUUGACAAGCCACACCUGGUUCACUACCAUCACCUACGAACCUAUGGCACAUGUGGCACAGCCGGCUCUUUGUUAUCACUGAAAGCUCUAAAAGUUCCUCCAUCACUGAGAGAGUAUGAUACCUGUUGUGGGAUCUGCUCCCUGUGCCAGGGAAAAGGUUAGCUCAAGUGUGAAGAGAAAGUGAAGACAGGAAAGAGAAACCCUGGCCCAUCAAAGGAAGCAAAGCAGCGAGCCCCCCCAUCACUGGGAGCAUUUGAGCACUAGAUGGGGAUAUGAAAGAUACUUUCCUGCCUAAGCCAAGGUUUGUAUGGCUCUGACUAAAAGAUCCUGGUUCUCGCCUUUGGCUUCUCACCGCCCCCCUCCUGCCCCGCUUCCCCAGGAGAGGUGGUAGAGCCACACACUACCCCUUCUCCAGGGUGAGCUCAGGGAGUGGGGGGGGCUGACAGUCCUGCACCUCCACACCCCAGGUUGCCUUCGGCCUGUUCCCUUGAGCCUGGUCUGGCCACGGCUGCAACUAAACAUGCAGGACAGCACCGAUCCGUCCAUCAUGGCCAGCUGACAGUGCCUGGGGCACUGUUCACUCUGCUGUUUUCAAGCAUUUACCAAUUCUUUUGAAAUGUUCCACGAAGUUGCCUGAAAUAUCUACACUGGCUUCUUUUUAAAAACUGACAAAAAGAUUACUUUUGCUCCCGCCCUGUCUCUGCUGUCCCUCCCUUGGCUUUUUUUUUUUUUUUUUUUGGUACCAGGGAUCAAAAUUGGGACUUUGCGCUUGGAAAGCAGGCAGUGGGACCACUGAGCUAAAUUCCUGGCUCCCUUGGCUUUUUAUAUGCUGUUUCUCUGCUUUGGAAAAUCCUACUGUCUUCAUCCUAUGUGGGAAGGCAGUGUGCCCAGAGAUCCUGGUGCCACAGAGGCACAGUCCUGCCACUGCCCCUUUCCCCUGGAGAUAGCACACCCUGGGCUCUGUGAGGCCAUAUCGCUCCUCUCUUCCCCUUGUCACUGAAGUACCCAGCUUGUGCCAGGAGGAGGCACUGGGGGCAUUGUGUGCCCAGUGCCUAGGCUGACCCUUUACUUUCUAAUAAGGCCAGCCCCCAAGGCACUGAAGCCAUGUGGCAGUCAGUGUGGCCUAGCCCUGGCCCUGGCCAUCCAUCCCAGAGAGUCCUUACAGGAAGGUCUUUGCCACUACCAGCCCCAUAUCUCUUUUAUGGUCGUCAAGGGAUGGUCGCUCAGGAGAGAUACCAGGUCCCCACACUCAGUGGACCCCACGAAAUCAGCACCUGCCUCGCCAGGAUCACUGAGGUCCAGCACAACACCUGGCGCAUGGGGGUGCAGAGUCCUUUCUUCCCCAGUGAAAUGAGCCACCACCUCCUCUUCAUCCUCCUCAUCCUCACCACCUGCCUUUUGCCCACUGAGCUCCCUGCAAGUGGCCUGAGUGUUGGCAACCAGCAGCUUCUCGUCCUACACCCACCAUGCAGGCGGCCUGACACAGAGGGGGCUGUCUGGGCACCUUGCCCUUUUGGAAGCAUCCAGCUCCACUUACACCCACUGUGAGCCUGAUGGGGAGGAACUGAUUGGGUGAGACCCCACAGCUGGCCUCAGCUCAAAUGUGUGCCUCAGUUUUCCCUCUCCAAGUCUUGCCUCCGGUGAGUGCGGGGAGCCAGAGAACUGGAAGACAGCCCCAGAGGCCGUCAGGAAGGAGGAUCCCAAGUGACACCCGCCUUGCCUGACAUUCUACCGAGUCCACACACCGAGCCACCUGCAGGAACUGAUCAGGCUCCCUCCUCAAGAGAAACAAACACACUGUGAAAUGACAAUCAAUGUAGCAGUGUUCCAGGCCACCCCUCCGGUGGCAGUCGGAGAGCCAAAGGUUCUGGGCACAAAGGGGAAAGACACACACAUCUGUGAGAGUAGCCUUAGAUUCCCCCCAACUCAGCACCACCACCUGCCAGUGGCCUCAGCUGAGAAGCCCACCCUGGUGUCCCGGGCAGAGUUGGGGGAUGAGGGCCCUGUGUCUUCCAACUCACAGAGGGAGGCAGCCAUGGGGAGGAAGCCACAGGCCUGGCGUUGGGGCCUUAUCUGUCACCUGAGAGGGAGAAGCCAGGAGACAUCAGGAGUGAAGGCUAUGGCAGGGGCUGGGCAGGCCAGCCAGGGGACAGUUUGCUGUGUGAGUCUGCUGGCUGGGGCCACCAGACAGGUGUGAACAGAGAGCCCAAUGGUGAACACCCCGUAGGAGAACCCAGCUCCAAAAAGCGCUGCAGAGUGAAUGCUCCACCAGCCACCAACCAGAGCUCCCUCCCGGAUGUUCAAACACAAUUUGGAGUCAUUUGUCUCAUGAAGCAUCCUGGGGUGCAUGCUCAGUGUGACUCCCUUCCCAGCAACCUGUGAGGGGGAGGAAGAGGCAGGCCGGCUUCUUGGCCAGACUGUAGGAAUGGGGUAGUUCUGCUGCAGCAGAUGGGAUGCCAGGUCAGCUGAUGGCACCAGGGCAUGGGGGACAGGCCUGGGUUUCCAAGCCUGUGGCCAAGGUGCCUUCUGCUUUCUGAAGGGCCCCUGUCCCAGCAACCCCAGCUCCCCAACCCUCCUGGCUGACCCUGCCUACAGAAUCAGGCCCAUGGGGCCAUGUGGCUGUAAGCUCCUUGUCUUUUUUCUUUUUCUCUGAAGGGCAAAGCAAUCUUGCGGGGCUGAGUGAUGGACCUCCCCCACUGCUCCUGCUGCCAUCUGAGACUAGGCUGGCUGCCUCGGCCUGGCUCCUGGGGGCCGGCUGAGCAUGGUCUCAUGCUCGCCUGCCUCACUCCCAACCUCACCACCAGACUGGGGUUUUCGGAAAACCAAGACACACAAACACACACCACUACAACAACACAAACCAAAGUGCACUGCAAACCGCCCUUUGGCCUCCUUCUUGUAGGUGCCUUGAAAUUUCACUGUUGAGAAGAAUGUGAUUAACUACUUGGUCCUAUUUUCUGUUGUCUGUUUUCAUAUAAAAUGUCUAAGUCCACCUGCCUUGUCCUUUCUUGAAAUAAAUAGAAAGAUUUAACUUUUA